rnacentral:rRNA from 1 species
ACGGGAGGCAGCAGUGGGGAAUAUUGCACAAUGGGGGAAACCCUGAUGCAGCGACGCCGCGUGAGUGAAGAAGUAUUUCGGUAUGUAAAGCUCUAUCAGCAGGGAAGAUAAUGACGGUACCUGACUAAGAAGCACCGGCUAAAUACGUGCCAGCAGCCGCGGUAAUACGUAUGGUGCAAGCGUUAUCCGGAUUUACUGGGUGUAAAGGGAGCGUAGACGGCAUGGCAAGUCUGAAGUGAAAGCUCGGGGCUCAACCCCGGAACUGCUUUGGAAACUGUCAAGCUAGAGUAUCGGAGAGGUAAGUGGAAUUCCUAGUGUAGCGGUGAAAUGCGUAGAUAUUAGGAGGAACACCAGUGGCGAAGGCGGCUUACUGGACGAUAACUGACGUUGAGGCUCGAAAGCGUGGGGAGCAAACAGGAUUAGAUACCCUGGUA